rnacentral:lncRNA from 1 species
UGACCAUUCCAAUCAAUCAUGUCUCUUUAUGUUGUCAUUAUUAACUCAUGAAUGAAUUUGUUACAGCAGUUGCUCAAGUGUGUGAAAUGUAGGCAGCACCAACUAGUUGGGACUAGAGCUUAGUCGUGCUGGUACAUUUACAUCAGGCUGAUUUUUUCAAGGAGUCUUUUAGAUUGUUUAUUAGAAAGUUGCAUGUCGGUAGAAAAUAAGAAACUUUAGUCGUUAGAGAACCCAACUUUGUUUCAAAACACAACUUAUUUAGGAAUGGGAUGAAGUCCAAAUGGAGUGGCAGGGACAUGGAAUUCAUAUAGCCAACCAAAUAGUUUGCAAUUGAGUCGUUGUUAUUGUCUAAAUGCUGGAAUGAUGAUGCAUCUGGUUUACUGCUUUUGAGCUGCUUCCACUGAAGCAAGCUAAAGUUGGAAAAUUUUGAGUGCAUAAUUUUCUCCUUUAAUAUGUCAUGCUUGAUGGAUUAGUUCUCAAUUGGGUUCUGCUGGACUAGCUCUUAUUGGCUUCUAUCAACUACUUGGGCUAUGACCAGAUCAUUUUUACACGGAAUGGAGGAAUCCUUCUUCCUUUCGACAUUUAUGAUGGCACUUCUAUGGUCAAAUAGACGGGAAUUAGAGGUGUUAUUCUAGUAGAGUUUACCUUGGCGAUAUCUUUGUUAUCAGUUAUUCAGUUCAUCCUAUAUAAAAAAUUUAAAAAGAAGCAGAAGAAAAAGUUAUCAUGUUUGAUGCUCUUUUUUGGGCUUUAUAAUCCGAGAGAAAGAAACAGGAACAUGAGAUCUCUUUAUCAUGAGAAUAUCAUCUCAGUUGUGCCUUUGGUUUAGGAUCUUAUAUAUCUAGAUUUGGUAGCUCGCAUCUCUUAUGUUGUAUUGCAACUUACUUUGCAGAAAAGUUCAACCCCCAUUGUCAAUCAAAGAUCAAGAAGAGAAGGCGAAGAGGAGUGAGUUUGUUCAAGGAUUGCUAUUGUCCACCAUUCUGGAUGAUAAUUUAUGAAAGGUUGACAAGGCUGCCGGCCCCCCACGUUCACCAGCUUACUGAUAAAGCCGUGUGGUUAGUGGUCUGUCCUAGUGCGCAUGGUGGUAUUAUGUAAUCCAACCGUGGAAUAAGAUGUAGUAAUCCAUGUAAUUUAUCUUGUAGAAUUUAGUUGAUAUGCAGCGGAGUCAUGUAUCUCCUUUUUAUUGCAGUUCAUGCUACGAUAAAGAAUAUAAUAAACGUUUGAGUUAGUGCUGUACUGCAAUUUAUAUUUUUGGAAAUCAAUGUAAUAUAUACUUGUAUUCUAGAAACACUGGGAAGAAAGGUGAAGGUAAGCACGAACACGAAUAAAAUUGGAUAUUGAACAUCCUAGUAACUGGACGUAGAGGCAAAUGGAACUUCCUAGUUAUAAUUUGGUGCAGCAAUAGGUUGGUCAUUUUUUUAUUUUAUUAGCCAUUUGAUAUCAUGUAAAUUGUAAUGGCUCUCUCUUUUGGUUGUAACUUCCCCAGCAGCCUCUUUCGAUCAAAGAUACACUUUACCUAUAUUAAGAAAAUUGUGAUGUGGGA